GACGGGAGCGCAGCCAGGGCCGCGCUGCCCGGCGGGAGGAGCAGGCCGCGGCGGAGCUCUGCCUUUGUCUCCGCACCAAGGAGGAUACGCUGGAUUGAAAACCAGGGAGGUGUUUUCGCUGCCUGCAGAGGAAUUUCCCCACUUGGCAGGUCAGGAGGAUCGCAGCGCUCCCGGCUCCGGCCUCAGCAGCGGGCGGGCCGGAGGUGGGAGAGGGCUACCGAGCCCCCACUGCUGAGGCACGGCAGAGAGGCCACCUGGCCAGUGGUGAGAAUCAAGGUGCUGCUGGAUAAAUCAGGCUCAUGGUAAGACCUGAAGAAGCCUUUGUCACCAGCACAGACUCUGCUAGGGCAGGGCUGCUGUAGAGGAUUUCAGUAGGUAGUUCAGCUGGGAUACAAGUCAAAGAAGAAAUUUCAGCCUGCUGUCUCUGGGGUACUUUAUCCCUCUGCAGGGGAAACAGAAAAGAAACACCCAAAGCUUUGCUCUUCAUUGCAUUUUUAUGAUCACAGUCUCCUGACAGCAUUAAUUCCCAUGGGAGAUCAGCAAGCAUCUUUGCAGGUCUGAGUGACUGGGACAGAGCAGCUGCAAUCAGAAUUCAGAUUAACAGCUGCUCUGCCAAGGUUCGUGCUUGGUGAACCCUGUGCUGCCAAGAGACGUUUGGAAAACAGCCUUAGGAUCCAGGGCUGCAGAAAGCAGCCCAGAGGCAGGACGGAGCUGCCACCCAGACCCUAGGGAUGGCCAGGCUCCCUUUUCCAGCUUGCCCAUCACUCUAUCCAACAUCUGAUUUGUCUGUUUUUCCCAUGGAAAACUUUAUUUUGUAUUUAAAAUAAGCCUCAAGGGUUAAUUCUUUCUUGUUUUCAUGAUUCAUCUCCCAAAUGUGGGUGUAUUAUAUUGUUUUCCCUGGAUUGGGUACUCCUUUCUUUUUUCCCCAAGCAGAGCUUUGCUGUCAUUUCAGUCCCCACUGCCACAGUUCUCACAGCAUGUUUGUUCACCUAAAAGUAAAUGCUCUGUUAGGAACAGAAAUCCUUUUUCAAGAAAACAAAAGAACAAAGAAAUAGACUUUUACAGAAGAGAAGAUAAAAUAUAUUUACAAAACGGCCUCACAGCAACUUGUUCAUCAGCCCAGUGGUCUUGCAGCCCAAUACUUUUUUGUUGUUGUUGCUGCUGUUGUUAUAUUGGUUGGAAACACCUUUAUGCUCUUAAAGCUUUAACAAGCACCUUCAAACAUCUCAGUGGCUUGUCAGCCUACUUUGGUGUUACAGAUUUCUUCAAAACUACGGAUUUUUCUGGUUAGAAAGAAGCAGGCAAGCUGCAAACCCAGUACAGCCAGAGGAGCAGCAUCCAGAUCAGUGUUUUGCAGGCCACAAAUCCCAUUAUUGAUCCCAACCUCAGACUUCGGACAACAGCUCUGAAGUGGACGUCCCAGAGGAAGACGACUGUUGCAGGCAGAUCAGAGGGUCCCAGCCUGAGAGAGCAUCUGAGUGGUGAACUCUCCUUUGCCAGACACUGGGGAGAAGUGAAUUGAUUGCAGUGACUUAAACUGUGGGUUUUGUAGAGAGACUGGGAAUCCUCUGAGGCAUGGGAAGAUGCAGAAGCCCAGUGCUGACACUUUGGAAGUUUGUGGGCAUUGGGCUGCCUCUGUCUUGCAGAAUCUCCCAUUCCACCAGAGCAAGAGUGCAAAGGGGAGCGAGAGAAAAACAAAUGGGAGGUGCAGACAAGAGGGGGUGGAAGCCAGGAUCUGUGUCAGACUGUCAGGAGCAAGGCCAGACGUGGUAAAAAGUGGGUGCUCCGUAAAUUCCCCAUACAUGUGUUUUGGGUGGGUUAAUAGCUUGACUCAGCACAGAUUUCCUUCUCCAGCAUGGCUCAUGAGCACAGACCAAGCUUUUGAUUCACACUUUGAGUGGGUUAGUUUCACAAGUCUUCUAGUGAACCUUUGAAAUUGGAUAAGAGCAAAAGCAUAGUAAAAAAGGCUCCUUGCAUUUCUGAGCACAUAACUGCUGCUGUUUCAUUAUGAUCUAAUGUUUCAUUGACCAAACCUUGGCUUGGGAAAUAGCAGAGAUGUGGUAAAAUAUGAUCUCUGAAUGACUGAUAUGUCGGGAAGAGAAAAAAAAAGCGAGAACUGUGAAGCAAAAAACCUGGUAUUUUUAUAAUUAAAGCGUGACCUUUUCCCUUUAAAUUUAUUACUGCUCUGACCCUGAAACUACCAAAAACUAAACAGUAGUGAGCAUGGUGCCUGGGUGCCCCAGGAGUGGAAAUGUGAUACUAAAUCCCUCAUCCCAGGCUGAUUUAGUCCAGGCUAUAAAUCUGGGCUCUUCAUAGGUGGGAUAUUAUUGGCCACAUCGCAGGCAGCCCUUGAGGAUGCUGAGAAUGGAUCAGAAGAGCUGCAUGGGCCACUUGGAUGUGGCCCAUCUGCAUGAAGGACUGUCCAAAUUUUAGCACAGCUCAAACUUUUUCUGCUUCUGAGUUGUCCAUGGUGGUGGCCUGUUUCGCAACAGGGAUUGUCACCAGAUACCCCAGCAUGAGCAGCUUAAAUGCAGUCCAGAAAACCUACCCGCUGCACCUCUGGCUUUUUAAACAACAGAAAGCUGAAACUCUCUGCAAAGGGCAAAUGGGGACAGGGGAGUUGGAAAGUGGCUGUUUCUUGAUGUCAUUUUACUGCUAAAUGCCCCUGUCUCUGGAAAAGCAGUAGCUGCCUCCGUGAGUGAGGCACACAUUCUUUUAGAUAAGCUGAGAAAAUAAUCUUCCUGAAUCCUGGCCAAACACAUUACAGCUACUGCCUUGGUUGGUGUUUUAAAAGCUACCUGUGUUUAAAACUCUCAUGCAAUUCCUUCACAGAGCAAGAGCUACCUGCAGCUGUGCCACCCAAGACGGGGGAGCUGCAGGAUUAAAACAAAAGCUACAUUAAAAUAAAAGCUGGAGUUUCCAGCCCUUGUGACCAUGACUGGGAAGUUUAGAAAUUUGAUAGCAUGCACCUCAAGAGCUCAGAAGCUGGAAGGCAAGGAGGUGAUCUGGUAUUUGCCAUCUUCUAAUAUUUCCUAGCUUUUAGACCAACAAGGAGCCUUGCUUAUUAUUUUGCAGAGCUGUCCAGCUGUUUUAAACUCUGUGACGGGAUUUAGAAAGCGGCUGAACUCCGCCAACAAACUUCACACGUAUCUAGAGAAAUAAUGAAAUAAAUCAAGAGCAUGCCCCUAAUGCCCAUGUUGAGGCAAAAUAACGUUUACAAAAAAAAAAAAAAAAAAAGAAAGUCUGCAAGACUGAAGUAAUGGGUACAGGAAUGCUGUUGUUGUUUUUUUGUUCCUACGCACAUGCCUUUGGUGUGAGGUAGUGUUUGUACUUCGCUCACGAUGGCUGGGAACGUCACUGUCUGGCACCGUGCAGGUAAUGAAUUCAGGGCAGCUUACAGGUGGUGGCACAAAGCUGCACCUGUUUUUCUUCCCUUUUUGAUUAAGUGUGUUCAUUCUGCCACCAAGGUCAUGGCGUGUGGGAGAAGGAGAAAAAUUAAAGACGGAAAGAACGGGCAGAGGGAGGUGGGAAUCGAGGAGUUCUGGAAACCGCGUGCAGCAUGGUGGCUGCUGGAGGAGCUGACUCGGUGCCUGGGGAACUCAGGAGCCCUCUCACUCAGGGAGCCCUCCCUGCCAAAAGCCAGGUGCUCUCAGACCCUGGAGGAUGGAGACUUUCGGAGCGGUGUGGGGAAGAGCCAGGAGCAUAGGUACAUGUUGUGGUCACGGGCUGGGCUUCACUUGUGUUUCCUGGCUGCUUUUUGCUUUCAAAAUCAGGGUAUCAGAUCACAGAAUAUUCUGAGUUGGAAGGGACUCACGAGGAUCAAUGAGUCCAAAUCAUAAGUGAAUGGCCCAUAUGGGGAUCCAAGCCACAUGAAGCUCAUCAGAGCUAACCCAGGUGAGGGUGCAGAGCUGGAGUCAGUGACUGUGCUACUGCCCACACCCCAUUUACAGCCCUCACGUGUGACUCCCCGUGACAUAGAGCUUCAUGCUUUUAGUGUCUGAAACUAUUAAACUGUAUGUGGAGUUUUCCACGUUUU